UCUGCCGACGAGGUGCUAACACCAGCUGUUGCAGUCGUUCCAUGCUGCAAUUUGUGCACGAGCUGUCCGUGCGCAGUGGAAGUGUCGUCUGCUCGACAGCGAUUUGUCGUCUGCUUGGACGAACAUAUCCAGCUACAGUUAAACGGUGUUGUAACUUCUGCUUUACAUUGUGUGGGAUGAUAAGCUAUUGGAUCUAUUACUUGGGAUUGAGGCGUUUUGAUCGGAAAUGGUGGAUUGUUUCAGAAAAACUGCUGAGGAGUAGCUCAGUAACCUUACGC